AUGACAUAAUCGCCGUUUUUGCCACGUGAGAGGCUUUUUAAGCAGCAACAAUUUUUCCAGAGCUUGGGCAGGCACACUCACCAGAAAGGGCGUUACGAUGCGAUCACCUCCGUCGGCAUCCCCCUCGCGCUCGCGGCAUCGAGCCUAUUCAUGAUUGGUCAUGGUGUCUACAACAUGUCUCAUGGAAUCGAGAAGAAGCAGUGA
rnacentral:rRNA from 1 species